UAUUCUGGAGUGAUUGCUCAGUUGCUAAGUGUGUCUGCCACUUUGCAAUCCCAUGGACCACAGCCCACCAGACUCCUCUGUCCAUGAAAUUUUUCAGAUGAGAAUACUGGAGUGGUUUGCCAUUUCCUACUCCAGUGGCUC